rnacentral:rRNA from 1 species
UACGUAGGCAGCGAGCGUUGUUCGGAAUUACUGGGCGUAAAGAGUGUGUAGGCGGUGUUCCCAGUCUGUUGUGAAAUCUCCCGGCUUAACUGGGAGGGUGCAGCGGAAACUAGAAUGCUAGAGGGUGGGAGAGGUAAGCGGAAUUCCUGGUGUAGCGGUGAAAUGCGUAGAUAUCAGGAGGAACACCUGUGGCGAAAGCGGCUCACUGGACCACAACUGACGCUGAGGCGCGAAAGCUAGGGGAGCAAACAGG